CGGGGCUGCGGCGGGACGAGCACCGGUGAGGCGCCGCUGUCGCCGCCGCCGGGCUGGGCUGCGCUCGUGAAGGAACCGUGUUGCGGGAAGCGGCCUGGCCGCUUCCUGGUGUCCGGGCUCCGCGUCCCUGUCGGCGAAAGCCAAGACAAAAGGUAUUAUCUCACACCUGGAAGUUCACAGAACCCUCCUCCUGUCAAAAAGUAUAUGUAAAAGUCAAGACCAGGCCAGAGGGAAAGAGGACAGGAUAAAGGUGAGAUCUUACAUCUUACUUCCACCCCAUUGCCCGUGCAUCAGAGAAGGUAAUACAGUUGCAUCUGGCUGAAGGUAUCAGGUGCAUGCCUCUUGAAGAUGUGUGUCCUUCCUCUCUGAAGCAGCUGGGGGAUUAAGGAGCUGUGAGUUGGAGUUGCUCUCUUAAAUUGGAUGUGUAGCUGUAAUGUUUCUGUGUUUAUUGUUAACACAACUUAUAAGCAUGUUGGAUGAAUUACCACGUAGGGGUGAAAUCUUUAAAAGUCGAGAGUUUCAAGCAAUUUACUGUUUUUUUCAGGUCUGACAGAGAGUUUGCUGGCCUUAUUUAGCUCCUCUGAUAAAUCCAGUCUUUCCCUAUAGAUGCCUAGGAUGUGCACAGGGACAGUCCUGGGAAAGCAAAGUAGACUACCACAACGAACUGUGGUGGUCUUCUCUGAAGGAAGUGCUUCUGUUUCUGUAGCAGUGAGGAUGAAAGAUCACACUUCCUCAUGCAUUUAACAUAACUAUAGCAGCAGAGGUCACACCUACUGUACUUUAGACCAAUUUAAAUGCUGUAAGCUUUUUUAGCAGCUGUUUAGUGGCACUGAUGUUUAUACGAGCCCUCAUCCACUAUUUUGGAUAUCUUUUCCACGUUUUAAAUAUAUUUUUAAUAUGACACCAUCAGCAAAAGAGGACUUUAAAUGAAAUUCCUUUCACAGUGUUGUUCAACAACUUGGAUUUCUGCCCCCAUGACACUUUGAAUACUCAUAAACAAUUGGUGUUUUUCAGUCCUGCCUUCUUCAUCUGCCCAUGUGAAAAAACAGGUGAUGUGCAAAAGAUCAAAUUAAUUUAGGUAUGAUUUAGAGGAAGUGUGGAAAUUACUAAAAAAUCCCAUGAAAAAGCCUUACAGAGUUGCUGAGUGGAGAUGCCUCUUCAGGAUAUAUGACAUAACUGCAGGAAAAGCAAUCCUUCAAGCAGUCAGGUUACAAAUAACUUAGAGUAAAGCCAGUAUUUUAUGCUCCUCUUGAAGCUAAGAGGCAGCUAGUCUAAAACUUAAUGCAGUCUGAUAUGGUUCAAAUGGAAGGGUAUUUUUCUGAAUUAAAGUCAAAUUGUAACUGUAUAUAAAUAAGCUUUGUAGCAGGCUGCCUCAGGUUGGAAAAAAGCAUAGCUUACAGUUGUUAUUUCCACACCAAAAUAAAUAGUGGCAAUUUCAUGACAAGGCAUAUAUGAGAAAAAUAGUAAGUCUAACAAUGUUUUAGUACAAAUCAAUUUACUUGCUGCUGAUUCAGUGCUGCUAGUUCCAUGGGGAGACCCUUCUAUAGCCACUUUUAGCUCAUACACAGUGUAGCAUGUUGGUAAUCAAAACAGGUGUUACUAAGCCUUGAAGAAGUCUCACCUAAACUUAUAAUUUUUAUUAAUUAUAUCUCUGUUAAUAUGACCUUUCUUAAUUCCUACCUAAUAAUUAUCAACAGUGUCACUAUUUGUCAGGCCUCCUUACCUGUAAUUACCCAGGUCAUCUGAUAUAAAUACAAGGAAAACACUGAUUUAUUUUUGUUUUUGAGACACAUUGUCUGUGAACAGCACUAUAAUACACUGACAUUGUUGGCAAGUUUUAGUGAAAAGUUUUCCUUUUUGAUCAGUAUGGGGAUCAGUAAUCUCUACUGAAGUCAUUACAUUGGCAGUUGUGUGUCCUGUUACAUAAUCUGUUUUUCUGUAAUGUUUUUGUCUCAUUUUAAA